UUACUUGUAAUGACUGUCAUACCUGUUCUUAUGUUUAUAAGCUUCUUUUUUGUGAUAAAGAAACCAAAAAAAUUCUAUCAGAAGGAAUACAUAGUAAAAUACAGUGAAGACACCAGUAGCCUGUUAAAGGAAUCUGAUGAUGCAGAUGCCCUUGAUGAAGUAUAUGAUGCCUCUAUG